ACUCCUACGGGAGGCAGCAGUGGGGGAUAUUGCACAAUGGGGGAAACCCUGAUGCAGCAACGCCGCGUGAAGGAAGAAGGUCUUCGGAUCGUAAACUUUUGUCUUUGGGGACGAAGAAUGACGGUACCCAAGGAGGAAGCCACGGCUAACUACGUGCCAGCAGCCGCGGUAAU
rnacentral:rRNA from 1 species